CUGUUGCCUCGGCGGGAUCUCUGCCCCGGGUGCGUCGCAGCCCCGGACCAAGGCGCCCGCCGGAGGACCAACCAAAACUCUUUUGUAUACCCCCUCGCGGGUUUUUAUAUCUGAGCCAUCUCGGCGCCUCUCGUAGGCGUUUCGAAAAUGAAUCAAAACUUUCAACAACGGAUCUCUUGGUUCUGGCAUCGAUGAAGAACGCAGCGAAAUGCGAUAAGUAAUGUGAAUUGCAGAAUUCAGUGAAUCAUCGAAUCUUUGAACGCACAUUGCGCCCGCCAGUAUUCUGGCGGGCAUGCCUGUCCGAGCGUCAUUUCAACCCUCGAACCCCUCCGGGGGGUCGGCGUUGGGGAUCGGCCCUUUACGGGGCCGGCCCCGAAAUACAGUGGCGGUCUCGCCGCAGCCUCUCCUGCGCAGUAGUUUGCACACUCGCAUCGGGAGCGCGGCGCGUCCAUUGCCGUAAAACACCCAACUUUCUGAAAUGUUGACCUCGGAUCAGGUAGGAAUACCCGCUGAACUUAAGCAUAUCAAUA
rnacentral:rRNA from 1 species